GGCCCCCGUGGCGGCAGCCUACACAUGCAAGUCGGGCGGUAACAGGGAGAAGCUUGCUUCUCUGCUGACGAGCGGCGGACGGGUGAGUAAUGUAUGGGGAUCUGCCUGAUGGCGGGGGAUAACUACUGGAAACGGUAGCUAAUACCGCAUAAUGUCUUCGGACCAAAGCGGGGGACCUCCGGGCCUCGCGCCAUCAGAUGAACCCAUAUGGGAUUAGCUAGUAGGUGAGGUAACGGCUUACCUAGGCGACGAUCCCUAGCUGGUCUGAGAGGAUGAUCAGCCACACUGGGACUGAGACACGGCCCAGACUCCUACGGGAGGCAGCAGUGGGGAAUAUUGCACAAUGGGCGCAAGCCUGAUGCAGCCAUGCCGCGUGUAUGAAGAAGGCCUUCGGGUUGUAAAGUACUUUCAGUCGGGAGGAAGGUGGCAAGGUUAAUAACCUUGUCAAUUGACGUUACCGACAGAAGAAGCACCGGCUAACUCUGUGCCAGCAGCCGCU
rnacentral:rRNA from 1 species